UACGGAGGGUGCAAGCGUUAUCCGGAUUUACUGGGUUUAAAGGGUGCGUAGGCGGGCCUUUAAGUCAGUGGUGAAAUCUCCCCGCUCAACGGGGAAACUGCCAUUGAUACUAUUGGUCUUGAAUUUAGUUGAGGUGGGCGGAAUGUGUCGUGUAGCGGUGAAAUGCUUAGAUAUGACACAGAACACCGAUUGCGAAGGCAGCUCGCUAAACUAAUAUUGACGCUGAGGCACGAAAGCGUGGGGAUCAAACAGG
rnacentral:rRNA from 3 species